rnacentral:rRNA from 1 species
AGGACGAACGCUGGCGGCGUGCUUAACACAUGCAAGUCGAACGGUAAAAGAAGGAGAGCUUGCUCUCUGGAUCAGUGGCGAACGGGUGAGUAACACGUGAGUAACCUGCCCUUGACUCUGGGAUAAGCGUUGGAAACGACGUCUAAUACCGGAUACGAGCUUCAGUCGCAUGGCUAGGAGCUGGAAAGAAUUUCGGUCAAGGAUGGACUCGCGGCCUAUCAGCUAGUUGGUGAGGUAAUGGCUCACCAAGGCGACGACGGGUAGCCGGCCUGAGAGGGGUGACCCGGGCCC